CCUGGGGAUCUUGGAAUGGGCGAAAGCCUGAUCCAGCCAUGCCGCGUGAGUGAUGAAGGCCUUCGGGUUGUAAAGCUGUUUUUAUUGGGAAGAAAAUGAUUUUACCUGUACAAUAUUGUCUGGACCGAUCGUGAGGGAAGCCUGCUCUGA
rnacentral:rRNA from 1 species